GAACUACUAUGUUUCUCUAAUUAUUGUCUUCUAUGUUGUCUUCAACAUUUUUUUGGUGAUGUUUUUUCGCUUGAUUCUAUAGUUUAAUCUUUUUUUCUUUUAAUGACGAAAACUAUUGGAACUCCUCCUAAUUUGAAGAGGCAGCUGAUUUUUUUCGGAGUCAUUGUUACAGCUGGUUUUUUCGGAGUCAUGUUCUUAUCAAUAUUUUGGUUGGUCUGGUGCAGGUGAAUGACUUGGAAAAAGGAGUCGUUGUCGUUGUUAGUGUUGCAUUUCCAGUCGGUUGCUCUCUGUUUUGAUUAUGCCAGAUGCAAUCGGGUGCAACAACUCAAAUGAGGAGAGUUAGAAAUUGCAAUUAUUCGGAUUGCUUUAUAUGAAACAUUAGAAUUUAAAUUUUGCUUUCUGCAUUCCUGUGGUGGAUUGUGUUACCGAAAAGAUGAAAAACCAGAAGAUGAAAACGUAGAUUCUUACUUGUCUAUUGAAGAAGGAAAUUUUGAUCGUCGAACUAUGCCUUUUAUAAAUCUGAAACGGAUUUCAAGAACAGACAAUAGAAAUGAAAAUAAAGGAUGAAGUCAAUCAUCGUAGUUGGUUUGUUCCGAAUUAUCUUCGUCAACCGAAUGGCGGGAGUACUACAUAUGUGCAAAUGAUGAUUUUAAUAUUGGUUUUGGCAAGUCUUAAACAACUCAUUGGAAUUGAAUUGAUAAGCAUUGAUUGAGCACUGAUGUCUAUUUAAAUAAUUCUCAAGUUUUUGCAUACAUCAAGUGUUCUAAUAUAUUGGUUGAUGAAAAAUGGUUCAGUCAAGCUUACAGAGUUUGGGUUGGCAAAGGUAAUCUUCAAUUAAACUAAUUUAUCUUUUUUCAAAGUUUUGCUAAUAUACAGUCCAAAUGUUGGCUUCUCGCAGUAUUGGUCAGAACCGUGUAGGCAGACUAUAUUUUGAACAUGCAGUUUAUAGUUCCUCCCCAAAAGCAAUGAUCGUUAUCCUCAUUAUCAGAGGGAGGCGGGACUGCUGCAAUCUUCUGCAGAAUGAUUUUAUCAAACCUAUUGUUAAGCAUACUCCAAUUUCAGCUACCAUCCUAAUCCUUUAGGUCAGCAACAAUAGGCUCAUCAUGAUUAGGAUAUGUUUCUAACUGUGAAUAAAGGCCA